UGAUAAUCCUUAUACUCGAAUGCAUCCUCAAUACGAUGAUGGCCUGGAGAAGAUCAUUCAGAAAUUAGAUGCAUAUUUAUGUCUCGAUGAGAAAGGAAUUCCGCAAUUGUUGAAUGUUUAUUUAUUAUGUGAGACUGCGCGGUAGGCUGAUCUCAAGUUAGGAAAUUCCAUCAAAAACACCGCUCAUUUAAAUCUUCAAUAGGACACUUCACCAUUGAUUUUAUACAAGAAAUAUUAUAAUAUCUUGUAUUUGCAUGUAAUGUAGAUCUAGAAUAAACAGUCGAUUCAUAGCUAAUAAAACGAUAAAAAAAACCUAAG
rnacentral:sRNA from 1 species